rnacentral:pre_miRNA from 1 species
AGUGGGAUAAUUGAGUCAAGUGGUGAUUCCAUUUCAAGUUUUCUGAGGAAUAUCCAUACUGCUUUCCUGAGUGGUUGUACCAAUUUGCAGUCCCACCAGUAAU